GGGGUAGGGAGUGUGACAUAAAGGGGGCAGGAGGUGGGAGCGGGGUGAUUGGUGAAGGGGGUGAUGGGGCUCAUUGCUACCUUUAGACCAAAUGGGGAAUGGAAACAUUUGAACAUUAUUUAUGUUUUCAUUAGAUUUGUGUUAUUGUUUUUGUUUUUGAUGAAUAAGUUAUUUCUCUUCUCAAAAAGAAUGGAAGUUAUUGUAUGGUUACAGUUAUAUUUACUUGUAUGAGAGAACCUUUUGCUGUAGGGACAGCAAAUAUAGGUCAAUCUAUGGAAGAGAACCUAUUAGGGUAUAGGAAAGCUCAACUCAUUAGGGGUGCAAAGGAGCCAAGUCGAGCUGAGUAUCAGGUUGCUGUUGCUUGGGCUCAGCUCAUUACUUCAACAAGCUGUUCAAGCCCAGCUCAAGCUCGAGCUGAGCUU
rnacentral:lncRNA from 1 species